rnacentral:piRNA from 1 species
UCCAGGGAAAUGUUGGAUUUUGUGGA